GCUGACAUGUGUAAACAAACACGUGAGUGUACACACAGAAUUUCGGCAGGAAAAUACUCAAAACUACCUAGAAAUAAUACUAAAAAGACAACAGGAAUUUUCUAGACAAAAAUGCCAGAUCUCUAGGAGGAUAUAGCUGAUUGAAAUCAACCAGUCUGAGUUAGUUCUCUUGGUUGGGGAGUUAUUUGGGUGGUAACGAAGCAGUGGACCAGGCAAUCAAUCGAGCACACCAUUGAGACAUGGAUCAACCUCCACUGA